rnacentral:rRNA from 2 species
UACGAAGGGGGCUAGCGUUGUUCGGAAUCACUGGGCGUAAAGGGCGCGUAGGCGGCUUUAUAAGUCGGGGGUGAAAGCCUGUGGCUCAACCACAGAAUUGCCUUCGAUACUGUAGAGCUUGAGACCGGAAGAGGUAAGUGGAACUGCGAGUGUAGAGGUGAAAUUCGUAGAUAUUCGCAAGAACACCAGUGGCGAAGGCGGCUUACUGGUCCGGUUCUGACGCUGAGGCGCGAAAGCGUGGGGAGCAAACAGG